UGGGGAAUAUUGCACAAUGGGGGAAACCCUGAUGCAGCGACGCCGCGUGAGCGAAGAAGGCCUUCGGGUUGUAAAGCUCUGUUGAGGGGGACGAAGAAUGACGGUACCCCUUUAGAAAGCCACGGCUAACUACGUGCCAGCAGCCGCGGUAAUACGUAGGUGGCGAGCGUUGUCCGGAAUUACUGGGUGUAAAGGGAGCGUAGGCGGGGGUCUAAGUUGGAUGUGAAAUACCGCAGCUUAACUGCGGGGCUGCAUCCAAAACUGGACUUCUUGAGUGAAGUAGAGGCAAGCGGAAUUCCUAGUGUAGCGGUGAAAUGCGUAGAUAUUAGGAGGAACACCAGUGGCGAAGGCGGCUUGCUGGGCUUUUACUGACGCUGAGGCUCGAAAGCGUGGGGAGCAAACAGG
rnacentral:rRNA from 1 species